rnacentral:misc_RNA from 1 species
UCGAAUUGAACUUUUGGCUGGGUGCUUGUUGUGCUGGUCCUCGGGGCAAUGUGAACGCAAGUCCCUGGUCAUUUUGUUUAUUCUUUUUCCACCUGUGCACUCCCUUGUAGACCUAGUGUCUAUGACAUGUUUAUAAACAAACACAUGUAUGUGAUAUAGUUGAAAUCUUUUAUAAUAAAUGAUA